CCUACGGGAGGCAGCAGUGAGGAAUAUUGGUCAAUGGGCGAGAGCCUGAACCAGCCAAGUCGCGUGAGGGAAGACGGUCCUAUGGAUUGUAAACCUCUUUUGCCGGGGAGCAAAAAGCGGUACGUGUACCGCAUCGAGAGUACCCGGAGAAAAAGCAUAGGCUAACUCCGUGCCAGCAGCCGCGGUAAUACGGAGGAUGCGAGCGUUCUCCGGAUUUAUUGGGUUUAAAGGGUGCGCAGGCGGGAGAUCAAGUCAGCGGUAAAAUGUCGGGGCUCAACCCCGGCCGGCCGUUGACACUGGUUGUCUAGAGUUGGAGAGAAGUAUGCGGAAUUCGUGGUGUAGCGGUGAAAUGCAUAGAUAUCACGAAGAACUCCGAUUGCGAAGGCAGCAUACCGGCUCCAUACUGACGCUGAGGCACGAAAGCGUGGGGAUCGAACAGGAUUAGAUACCCGAGUAGUC
rnacentral:rRNA from 1 species